ensembl:lncRNA
AUUUAUUUCUUUUUGGUUGAGUGUGUCAGCUUGACUACUGCGUGUUUUAACUCUAUUUUCUGUUCUGAAAUAUAUUAUUUUCAGGGAACGUUGAAUUACGUGGAUCCACUUUUCUUUUGUGACAUUGACCUGCAAAAAUGUCUCAGUGAAACAAAAAAUUCACACAAAUGGAUAUAAAUAACAAAGUAGAAAACAUCAGUUUCUUUAAAGCUGAGCGCAUGUAAUGACAGAUUUUUCAGAUUUCUGAUGAGCAAUACUUGGGAAGAUGUUUUAUUAAUGUGGACUGUUAGGCUAUAAGACUAAUAUCCUUGGUUUGCUGUGUCAAAUUAAGAACUGUUAUGGCUGGAUAAUGUUUUUUAUUAUUAAUAUUAAUUGAGGUACCUCACAUGGAGUCAAAAUAUCCUUCUCACUGCCUAAGUGGUUUCAAGGUUUGGAAACUACACUAGGCUUCAUGUUUUGUAAAUAUGAGUUGGUUUGAAAGGGAGUAAAGCAUUUGACAGUAACGGCCAUUUAAACUGCUUGGUUGUCAUUACAGCCUUUCUCCACCAGAGGGAGUCAUGAACCACACCGUGUGUCACAACAAGCUUGUCCUUCAAUAAAAAUCAAUGGAAUCAUAAAGUUUUUAUUGAAAACUAUGUUUUUGGAAAUUAUUCCGUCUGAUCUAUGUGCUAAUUUCUCCGAUGUCUCAAAGGGAAACUUAUUUUUGUUGUAAAAUUUAUGUGUGUAUAUUCCAACACACAAAAGAUGGUUUAGUCUCAAAGCAAUCCAUACUGUGAUGAUUGCUGUGAGACCCAGAAGAAUAAAUGUUUCAUAGUUGGUUGGUUUGUUUGUUUUUAGAUAAUUUAAGUAUAGUAGUUGAAAUAAAUGUUUAGAAGAUUUUUUUUGGAAAAUUAUUUAUUUUUUAUCUUAGUAUGAUGAAAUGAUAUUGUUUCCUUUUUUUUUAUUUUAUUAAACUCCAUUCUGCACUCCUAAUACUCACCUAAACAUGGGUUGUUGGGUCAUGCUCCCCAUGGCAGUAACAGUGAUCAUGGAUGGUGUGACAGAGCGCUGGGUGUGGCAGAUAGGAUUUUACUCAUACUGCUGUCAGGAGGUGAGGUGGAAGAGGGCCAGAUUUUAGAGCAAGAAGGUGAAAGCUUAGAGGAGUCCGAGCAGGGACAAAUAUAGAAAUGUUGUUAAAGCUAGGGCUCUGAAGUUGUGGCAUUUGGUUUCUCGGCUGCCAUUUAAAACACCGGCCUGUGAGGGCAAUAAUCUUUUGGCACCCCUGUUGCAUUCUGUUUAACAGUGGUCUCACCUUCCAGAGAGCUUCAUUCUUUCCCCUUUAACGAUUAAGAUAAUCCGUUACUUUGAUGGACUCCCUAAUAUCUGAAAAAUGUGCCUUGACUUACUGAACUGACUGUAACAAGGAACCAGCAAGUUCAGGUCCUAGGAUAUCUGAGUCAUGCCAUGAAAUGGAUGUUUUCAGAUGAGCACGUCCCUCUGGUUUGUGUGCUCUGACAUGUUUUUCAGAAACCUGGUUACCUAUUUACACUUUGAUGUAAUCAUAGGGCCUCCUGUCAUGGUUGUUAGCAGC